AGUGAACGCUGGCGGUAGGCCUAACACAUGCAAGUCGAACGGCAGCACAGUAAGAGCUUGCUCUUACGGGUGGCGAGUGGCGGACGGGUGAGGAAUACAUCGGAAUCUACUUUUUCGUGGGGGAUAACGUAGGGAAACUUACGCUAAUACCGCAUACGACCUACGGGUGAAAGCAGGGGAUCUUCGGACCUUGCGCGAUUGAAUGAGCCGAUGUCGGAUUAGCUAGUUGGCGGGGUAAAGGCCCACCAAGGCGACGAUCCGUAGCUGGUCUGAGAGGAUGAACAGCCAACCUGAAACUGGAACACGGUCAAGACCCCUACGGGGGGCAGCGGGGGGGAAUUUUGGACAAGGGGGGAAAGCCUGAUCCAGCCAUACCGGGGGGGUGAAGAAGGCCUUGGGGUUGUAAAGCCCUUUUGUGGGAAAAAAAAAGCAGCAGGUUAAUACCCCGCUGUUCUGACGGUACCCAAAGAAUAAGCACCGGCUAACUUCG
rnacentral:rRNA from 1 species